rnacentral:rRNA from 1 species
GGGAGCCUCACGAACGUUGGUAGCAACCCAAACCCAUGUGAACGUUACCAAACUGUUGCCUCGGCGGGGUCACGCCCCGGGUGCGUCGCAACCCCGGAACCAGGCGCCCGCCGGAGGAACCAACCAAACUCUUUCUGUAGUCCCCUCGCGGACGUAUUUCUUACAGCUCUGAGCAAAAAUUCAAAAUGAAUCAAAACUUUCAACAACGGAUCUCUUGGUUCUGGCAUCGAUGAAGAACGCAGCGAAAUGCGAUAAGUAAUGUGAAUUGCAGAAUUCAGUGAAUCAUCGAAUCUUUGAACGCACAUUGCGCCCGCCAGUAUUCUGGCGGGCAUGCCUGUCCGAGCGUCAUUUCAACCCUCGAACCCCUCCGGGGGAUCGGCGUUGGGGAUCGGGACCCCUCACACGGGUGCCGGCCCCGAAAUACAGUGGCGGUCUCGCCGCAGCCUCUCCUGCGCAGUAGUUUGCACAACUCGCACCGGGAGCGCGGCGCGUCCACGUCCGUAAAACACCCAACUUUCUGAAAUGUUGACCUCGGAUCAGGUAGGAAUACCCGCUGAACUUAAGCAUAUCAAUAGCCGGGAGGAA